rnacentral:rRNA from 1 species
GGGGAAUCUUGCGCAAUGGGCGAAAGCCUGACGCAGCAACGCCGCGUGGAGGAUGAAGGCCCUUGGGUUGUGAACUCCUGUCGGCUGGGAAGAAAUCGUUCGGGGCUAAUACCUUCGGACGUUGACUGUACCAGCAAAGGAAGCCCCGGCUAACUCUGUGCCAGCAGCCGCGGUAAUACAGAGGGGGCCAGCGUUAUUCGGAAUUAUUGGGCGUAAAGGGCGCGUAGGCGGCCAUGCGUGUCUCCCGUGAAAUCCCUCGGCUUAACUGAGGACGUGCGGGAGAAACUGCAAGGCUCGAGUCCGGGAGAGGGGGGUGGAAUUCCCAGUGUAGCGGUGAAAUGCGUAGAUAUUGGGAGGAACACCGGUGGCGAAGGCGGCCCCCUGGACCGGUACUGACGCUGAGGCGCGAAAGCGUGGGUAGCAAAC